UAAAGGGCCGCGGUAUAUUGACCGUGCGAAGGUAGCAUAAUCAUUAGUCUUUUAAUUGAAGGCUGGAAUGAAUGGUUGAACAAAAAAUAUCCUGUCUCACUAUUAAAAUUAAAAUUUGACUUUUAAGUAAAAAGGCUUAAAUAGCAUAGAAUGACGAUAAGACCCUAUAAAGCUUUAUAUUAAAAAAAUAACUAAUAAGUUUGAAUUUAAAAAUUAUUUAUUUUAAAAAUAUUGUGUUGGGGCGACAAAAAUAAAAAUUGUAACUGUUUAUUUAUUAAAAACUAUAAUAAAAGAAAAAGUGAUCCUUUAGUAAAGAUUAAAAGAUUAAGUUACUUUAGGGAUAACAGCGUAAUCUUUUUUAAGAGUUCAUAUCGACAAAAAGACUUGCGACCUCGAUGUUGAAUUAAGAAGUCCUUUUGGUGUAGCAGUUAAAAAG
rnacentral:rRNA from 1 species